rnacentral:lncRNA from 1 species
AAAGUUCAACAAGUAUACAUCUGAGCUGGUUGUAACAGAUAACAGAAACAUGUCAACACAUAUAUGUAUAUAUAUACUGAUAAUAUUAAUUUAUAUUGUAUAGCAUAAAAUAAAACAACAGCAUCAAAAUGAGCAUUUGUUAUUCCCAGGCAAUGAUCUUCUUUCAGAUAUUCUGUAAUGUAAGGUAUCAAUAUAUAAAAAUAGAAAAAGAAAUCUCUCAAAAUGCACACCAUAAAAUUCUGUAUAGCAACCUCGACUUGUAAGACAUAGGAAUUAGAAAUUACCAAAUUACCAAAGUUCUGUUAAUCUUCAGUGAUAAAAGUCCACUGAAAUUGUUAGUCAUUUAGCCUAUUCAUAUAGUAAUAGUUUCAUAAUCAAAAUAAAAAAAUAAUAAAAUUUGGGGUAUCUCCAGAUGUGAAAAAUAUCGUGUUAGUGUGAUUUUAUGUCAUUCCCUCAGAAUGAAUUAAAACAUAGGAAAACACUUAAUUGAAAUAGAGAAUUUAAAAGCUUUUGGAAUUAUACUUAUAUAUAUAUAGAGGUCAAAAUGUAUAGAAAAUAGUUAGGCCAGCUAAAGUUCAUGUACCAAUUCAUCAAAUAAGGUUAUACAUGUUAGUAAUUACUUAACUAAUUUGCAUGUAAUAAUGAUUUUGUAGGUUUGACCUAGAAUAAGUCAAAUUAGGUACGACCAAAAGCAGAUAGUAGGUUUAAUUCAAUAAUACAGAAACCAAAUGAUGCAAUAAAUCAGAAGAAAUCUUUUUCAACAAGAUUUUGCAGAGUAAUCUAAACUGGUAGCCAAAUUUCAUUCUUGUUAGAAAAUUUGUGUCACCAAAUUGUUGAUUCUUAUUAUAAAUAGUUUAUGUUUUAAUCUAUAAAAAAUACAUUUGUAAGUAUUGAUGGUACAACAGAUUGUAAAGGACACUGUUAGUCUGUACUUUACAGUAAAAUAUUCUGUCGACAUACUCUUAUAGCUGUAUACCCCAAUAUUUGCUCUCAAUAAUAUACAAUAAACCUUGAAAAAAGAUAUAUUCAAUUUUCACCAUUACAUCGAUACAGUAAUAUCAAAAUUUAUUUUCAAUAAUUUGAAUACAAAUUGCAGUCAAGACUACAGACACAUUUGAGUAUUUGGACGGCAAAAAAGAUAUACUUAAUUUU